GGACGCGUGGCAGAGCGGUUUAAUGCUCCGGACUCAAAAUCCGGCGGGGUAGCCCAUCACAGCAUCGCCCCCGUGGGUUCGAAUCCCACCGCGUCCG
rnacentral:tRNA from 2 species